rnacentral:rRNA from 1 species
UACACACCGCCCGUCACACCAUGGGAGGUCGGUUUCUCCAGAAGUGCCUGAGCCAACCCGCAACGGAGGCAGGCCCAAGGAGCAGUCCGGUAACUCGGGGUGA